GCCAGUCUGGUCUAGUGGUUAAGGCACCUGGCUAGAAACCAGGAGUUGGUGAGUUCUAGUCCUACCUUAGGUA
rnacentral:tRNA from 1 species